GAGUUUGAUCCUGGCUCAGAUUGAACGCUGGCGGCAUGCCUUACACAUGCAAGUCGAACGGCAGCACGGGGGCAACCCUGGUGGCGAGUGGCGAACGGGUGAGUAAUGCAUCGGAACGUGCCCAGUAGUGGGGGAUAGCCCGGCGAAAGCCGGAUUAAUACCGCAUACGCACUGAGGUGGAAAGCGGGGGACCUUCGGGCCUCGCGCUAUUGGAGCGGCCGAUGUCGGAUUAGCUAGUUGGUGGGGUAAAGGCCUACCAAGGCGACGAUCCGUACCUGGUCUGAGAGGACGACCAGGCACACUGGGACUGAGACACGGCCCAGACUCCUACGGGAGGCAGCAGUGGGGAAUUUUGGACAAUGGGCGCAAGCCUGAUCCAGCAAUGCCGCGUGUGUGAAGAAGGCCUUCGGGUUGUAAAGCACUUUUGUCCGGAAAGAAAUCUCCUGGGUUAAUACCUCGGGGGGAUGACGGUACCGGAAGAAUAAGCACCGGCUAACUACGUGCCAGCAGCCGCGGUAAUACGUAGGGUGCGAGCGUUAAUCGGAAUUACUGGGCGUAAAGCGCGCGCAGGCGGCUCUGCAAGACAGAUGUGAAAGCCCCGGGCUCAACCUGGGAACUGCAUUUGUGACUGCAAGGCUAGAGUGCGUCAGAGGGAGGUGGAAUUCCGCGUGUAGCAGUGAAAUGCGUAGAGAUGCGGAGGAACACCGAUGGCGAAGGCAGCCUCCUGGGAUGACACUGACGCUCAUGCACGAGAGCGUGGGGAGCAAAUAGGAUUAGAUACCCUGGUAGUCCACGCCCUAAACGAUGUCAACUAGUUGUCGGGGAUUCAUUUCCUUGGUAACGCAGCUAACGCGUGAAGUUGACCGCCU
rnacentral:rRNA from 1 species